rnacentral:misc_RNA from 1 species
GUUUCCGCAGGUGAACCUGCGGAAGGAUCAUUCAUAAUAAAGAGUUUUAUGGCACUUUUUAAAAAUCCAUAUCCACCUUGUGUGCAAUGUUAGAUCUCGUCAAUCUUGGCGAGAUUUUUAUACAUCAACUCAUUCUUUAACUAAUUUGUCUGAAAAAUAUUAUGAAUACUUAAUUCAAAAUACAACUUUCAACAACGGAUCUCUUGGCUCUC